CUGGGUCACAGUAGGUUGCAUUUCUGUCAGUGCAGCCCUGUUGGCUCAGCUCUCUGCUUCCAUCUGUGGUAUCUCAGUGCCUGCAGGUUGGCAUCCCCACAAUACUGUUCCUAUGUGCUUUUAAUGCCUCCAAAGAAAACUUCUUUGAACUACCACGUCAUCUUUCCAGUUCCCCCAGUUCCUUCCUGUUGUGCACAGAACCCUCAGUUGUUCAUCUUGGGCUCACCAUGAGCUUCAGUCAUCUCAGUCAUAAUCACGGCCCUAAAACAAGCAUAAAAUCUCUCUGGAAAAGCCAAGCUGCUCCUGGGAUAAAACUUUCCAAGGUUUCAUCAAAAGAAACCCUUCUGUGAACAAGAAUUUAAUGGGCAAGAUCAGAAGACACAAGAAAGUCAACAGUUACAUAUGAAGAGUACACAUAGAAGAUCCAGUAAUAGAUAUUAAUUUUUAUACCAAAUUUGACGCACCUCCAAGCAUAAAUAUACCAGCAGGAUUCUAUUGAAUUUUGAAGGUUAAAAGAAGGUCACAAACACACAAAUACCACAACAACUGGUACAUCUCUGCAUGUAUUCAGAUAUUCAAAACUAAAAAGCUUCAAUAUUUGUUCCAGAGUGAAUGUUUAUUACUCACAAACAUGACUUUCAGUCUCUUUUUUGAUGCCUAUACUCAAUAAGAAUUGCACUUCACACAACAACCAGUAUAGACACUUACAAAGAGAAACAGAAGUUUCAAGGACAGUUCUUACUAUAUGUAAACUAUACCAAAUAUAAAAUUUACCAUCAUAUUUUCUAUUCUAUCGUAUUUUAAAACAUUUUCCAACUCAUUAAUUAUUGAUCAUGAAUUUCAACUUCCUAAACUGUUAGUGGGAAUAUAAAUUGCUACAACCACUAUGGAAACAGCAUAGAGAUUCCUCAUAAAACUAAAUAUAGAACUACUAUAUGAUCCAUCAAUUCAACUCCUGAGCAUAUAUCCGAACAAAACUAUAAUUCAAAGAGACACAUGCACCCCUAUGUUCAUAGUGGCACUAUACACAACGUAAAUGUCCAUCGGCAGAGGGAUGGAUUAAGAAGGUAUGGUACAUACAUACAAUGGAAUACUACUCGGCCUUAAAAAAGAAUGAAAUAAUGCCAUUUGCAGCAACAUGGAUGCAACUAGAGAUUAUCAUACUAAGUGAAGUAAGACAGAAAGAGAAAGACAAAUACCAUAUGAAAUCACUUAUACAUGGGAUCUAAACUAUGACACAAAUUAAUCUGUCUAUGAACAUAAGGAAACUCAUAUAUACAUGGAGAACAGACAGACUUGUGGUUGCCAAGAGGGAGUGUGGAGGGAGUGGGAUGGACUAGGAGUUUGGCGUUAGUAGAUGCUAACUAUCACAUUUAGAAUGGAUAAGCAAGGUCCUACUGUACAGCACAGGGAACUAUAUCUGAUCUCCCCAGAUAGCCCAUGAUGGAAGAUAAUAUUAAAAAGAGUGUAUAUAGGAGUUCCCGUCGUGGUGCAGAGGAAAUGAAUCCGACCAGGAACCAUGAGGUUGUGGGUUCGAUCCCUGGCCUCGCUCAGUGGGUCAAGGAUCUGGCAUUGCCGUGAGCUGUAGUAUAGGUCACAGAUGCAGCACGGAUCUGGCAUUGCUGUGGCUGUGGCGCAGGCCAGAGGCUACAGCCUCCGAUUAGACCCCCUAGCCUGGGAAUCUCCAUAUGCCGUGGGUGCAGCCCUAAAAAGACAAAAAGACAAAAAAAGAAGAGUGUGUAUAUAUAUGUAUGACUGAGUCACUUUGCUGUACAGCAGACAUUGGUACAGCAUUGUAAAUCAACUAUAUUUUAAUAAAAUUAAAAAGCAAAUUGUACAAUACUGAAGGCAUUAUUCCUGAGAUAAAUUAUUAUGUUAGAUUUCAUUAAAAUUAAAACCUUUUGCUCUGUAAAUGUAACGUCAAGAGAAUGAGAAAACACAUCACAGAUUUGGAGAAAAUAUGUGCAAAAGACACAUCUGAUAAAAGACUGUUAUCCAAAAUAUACAAAGGACUCCUAAAACUCAACAAUAAGAAAAUAAUCUGAUUUAAAACAUGGGGGAAAAAAAAGGACUGAACAGACACCUCACCAAAGAAGACAUGCAGAUGUAGAUAUGUCCUUAGGGAAUUGUAAAUUAAAACAAUGAAAUAACACUACACAUCUCUUAGAAUGGACAAAAUCCAAAACACCAACACCACCAAAUGCUGCUGAGGAUGGAAAGCAAUAGGAAGUGUGACACACUGCUGGUGGGAAUACACUUUGGAAGAUAGUUUUGUCACUAAACAUCCUUUUACCUUAUGAUCCAGCAAUUGCAUCCCGUGCUAUUUAUUCAAAUGAGCUGAAGACAUACAUACACAUAAAACCUGCACACAUUUGCUUAUAGCAACCUUGGUCAAACGUCCAGAAUUUGGAAGCAACCAAGAUGUCUUUGGGCAGGUGUAUGGAUAAAUAAACUGCGGUCCAUCCAGAUGAUGGGGUAGUAUUCAAUGCGGAAGCGAAAUGUGCUAUUGAACCAUUAAAAUAUAUGGCAGAACCUUAAAUUAGUAUCAUUAAGUGAAAGAAGCCAACCUGAAAAGACUACAUCCUGCAUGACUCUAACUCUGACAUUCUCGAAAAGGCCAAGCUACAGACAAUACAAAGAUGCGUGGUUGCCAGGGGCCGGAAAAGGGAGAGCAGAACCUAG
rnacentral:lncRNA from 1 species